AUAAUGACUGAUGAUAUUGCAAACUCAAGCUGGGAGGAUUGUUUCUGGAGGAUGCCAGCAGCAGAGGGCUACUAUCCCCCAGACACGAGCACCAGAGCCAACUCUGCACUUCCACAAGGACACUGACUUCAGGAAAUAAUUUCACCUGCUCAAAACCUUUUUGUUGUGGCAGUUCAGUGCCUUUGAGCUGUGCUUGGAGACCUCACGAACCAUACCUAAGAAAAGUGAUGAUUUAGCAGCUACAUAUUCUUUUGAUGAAAAAUGGCUUUUACCUGGUGAGAUGGUGUUGCCUUUAUGGAAAUAAUUCUUGGUGGACCUCUUUGGAUUUAUUUGGCCACUUCUCAAGGCAUAGAGCCAGCAUUGUGAUCUCCACCUUGGGUCUAGCAUCUAGAAGGUAAAUAUGAGCUGCUUCCUCCUCCUGCUAUGGCUUUCUCCCUCCAAAGUGAUUCCCACUCGCGCCACUUCAAUGAAGAGUCUGAUCUUUGGCUGCUUUUAAUUUCUUCAUGGACUCAGUGCAUCUGCUAGAGGAAAGAUUAAUGAAAAUAAGUGCAGAACUUUUACAAUAUUAGAAACAGGAAAACAAAAUUUAUUUCUUUUAGCUGUUUGACAUGACAGACAAAAGCUAUAGCGCAUGAAUCUAGCUGUAUUCACAGGGUCCUCUGUGCAAUUUAGCUCUGAAAUUUAGAGCAAUUACACCUGGUUCCAUUUCCAAAGGAAGGGGAUUGCUCAUGACCCCAUUCUGGGAACAGGAUCUGAGGGCCAAGGCUCUUCUACUAAAGAUUGGUUGUUUCUCUGAAGGAGUAAACACCAGUAUUUUGGGAAGAAGGAAAUUAUUCAUAUGAUGUUUUACAGUAAGAAAGUGAAAUCUGUCUUUUCUAGAAAUGUUGCUGAAAUAUUGUCACAAGAAUGCAUUACUGUUUCUUUCUUAUAAUAUAUCAAAACAUCUUUAAAAUAAAUUGCUUGAGUGGGCAUAAAUAAAAAGCAUAGGCAGACAUGAACAAAUGUAUCUAUAUGCAACGGUAGUGUAAAUAUAUCUACAAAGACAAGUAUUUUAUCUGGUUUUCCCCAUUCCUUUUGCCUUUCACCAUUGCUACUAGACACAUAUGCUCUACAGAUCAGUGAGAGGAGGAAAGCAGCUGAGUCAUUGCACCCUGGUAGUUUAUGCUGAAGCAAGCUCUAAAAUGAAGACUAAAGAAGUGCAGUAAUACUGCACACAAGCAGCAGAAGCAUGAAAGCUAUUAUGUGCCAAAAAUAGGACAGUGAUAACUAAUUCAUAGAGCAAGUAAAGUUUUUGUAUCAAAACAUGUAUUUAGUGUAUAUUAAUGCUAAGAGAGCCAAAGCAAGGGAAAACAAGUCCUCCUGCAUGCUCUUGUGUAGGAAUUAUUUUUGUGAUCUACUGAAUAAGAAAUGUCCUUUAGCCACAUAAAAAAUAGGGAUGGAAGAUCUUAGGUUUACAGCCUUUGCUCUGUGCAGUAGUUCAGAUUUUUAAUUUUCCUCAUUUGAAUAUGAUUCCCAGACUAAAAAAAACUUUCCCCUUGUAAAUAAUUCAAGUUCUCUUUCUGUGACUGCAACAUAAGCCUGCUUUUCUACCUGUCAACACUAAUGUGUAAAGCACAGUAUGUAAAAUAGUGCCCAAAUUAAAAGAUUUAAUAAAAUUAUUACUAUGAGAAACU
ensembl:lncRNA